rfam:Luteococcus japonicus LSP_Lj1 genome assembly, contig: Scaffold13
CGAGUUCGUCGGGUGACCGCGGCGGGAGCAAUCCCGUCGAGGAAAGUCCGGACUCCACAGGGCAGGGUGGUCGGUAACACCGACCCGGAGUGAUCCGCGGGAAAGUGCCACAGAGAACAGACCGCCAGCGCCGCACUUCCUCGUGAAGUGUUGCUGGUAAGGGUGAAACGGCGGUGCAAGAGACCACCGGCGCCCCAGGCGACUGGGGCGGCCAGGCAAACCCCACCCGGAGCAAGACCAAGAAGGCCCACCCCGGUGGGUCGCGGACGUGAUCGAGGGCUGCCCGCCCGAGCGUCCGGGUAGGUCGCACGACGCGUGAGCGUCGAAGGCGUCUGGCAACAGGCGUCGCAGAUGGAUGGUCACCCAUCGCGGGAAACCGCGGGGACAAAAUCCGGCUUACAGACGAACUCGUCCC